CCCCUAGUAACGGCGAGUGAAGCGGGAAGAGCUCAAAUUUUGAAAGCUUGGUACCUUUGGUGCCCGCGUUGUAAUCUCGAGACGCGUUUUCCGCGCGGCGCUAUGGACAAGUUCCUUGGAACAGGACAUCGUAGAGGGUGAAAAUCCCGUACUUGCCAUGGAUGCACCGUGCUUUGUGAUACGUGCUCAAAGAGUCGAGUUGUUUGGGAUUGCAGCUCAAAAUGGGUGGUAGACUCCAUCUAAAGCUAAAUAUCGGGGAGAGACCGAUAGCGAACAAGUACCGUGAGGGAAAGAUGAAAAGCACUUUGGAAAGAGAGUUAAAAGUACGUGAAAUUGUCGAAAGGGAAGCGCUUGAAGUCAGCCAUGCCGCUCAGGACUCAGCCUGGCUUUUGCUUGGUGUACUUCCUGGGUAGCAAGUCAGCAUUGGUUUGGACCGUCGGAGAAGCAUGGCAGGAAUGUGACGCCCUCGGGCGUGUUAUAGCCUGCCAUUGGAUACGCCGGUCUAGACCAAGGAACGCAGUGCGCCUUACGGCGGGUCUUCGGACACCUU
rnacentral:rRNA from 1 species